UAAAGAUUUUAAGGGCGUACGGUGGAUGCCUUGGCGAUAUCAGCCGAAGAAGGACGCGGUAAGCUGCGAUAAGCUACGGAGAGGUGCAAGCAACCUUUGACCCGUAGAUUUCCGAAUGGGGGAACCCGGCAGUGGUUAUGCACUGUCACCCAUAGCUUAGACUAUGAGGAGGGCACCCGGGGAACUGAAACAUCUAAUUACCCGGAGGAAAAGUAAUCAAACGAGAUUUUCUUAGUAGCGGCGAGCGAACGGGAAAGAGGCCAAACCGGAGCGGGCAACCGCACCGGGGUUGAGGACAGUCAUCAAGUGUAAAUGAGGUAGAAGAAUCGAGUUGGAAAGCUCAGCCGCAGAAGGUGAAAGCCCUGUAAUCGAAACCUUGCAUACAUGGGACUGUAUCCAGAGUACCACGAGACACGUGAAACCUUGUGGGAAGCAGGGGGGACCACCCUCCAAGCCAAAAUACUGAUAUCGACCGAUAGCGCAUAGUACCGUGAGGGAAAGGUGAAAAGAACCCCUGGCGGGGAGUGAAAGAGAACCUGAAACCGUAUGUCUACAAACAGUCGAAGUCUGUAUAUAUAUCAGGACGACGGCGUGCCUAUUGAAGAAUGAACCGACGAGUUACUGUUGCUAGCGAGGUUAAGUGGAAAACAUGGAGCCGCAGCGAAAGCGAGUCUGAACAGGGCGUUCAGUUAGUAAUAGUAGACCCGAAACCGUAGUGAUCUAUCCAUGGCCAGGUUGAAGCACAGGUAAAAUUGUGUGGAGGACCGAACUCGUGAGCGUUGAAAAGCUUUGGGAUGAGUUGUGGAUAGGGGUGAAAUGCCAAUCGAACACGGAGAUAGCUGGUUCUCCCCGAAAUAGCUUUAGGGCUAGCCUCGAGGUUGAGAGUAUAGGCGGUAGAGCACUGAUCGGGCUAGGGGCCAUACCGGUUACCGAACCUAGUCAAACUACGAAUGGCUAUACUUAUACUCGGGAGUCAGACAGUGAAUGAUAAGGUCCAUUGUCAAGAGGGAAACAGCCCAGAACACCGACUAAGGUCCCAAAUGUUACACUAAGUGGCGAAGGAUGUGGAAUUUCCAAAACAACCAGGAUGUUGGCUUAGAAGCAGCCACCAUUUAAAGAGUGCGUAAUAGCUCACUGGUCGAGAGACUCUGCGCCGAAAAUGUCCGGGGCUAAAGUGUAAAACCGAAGUCGUGUCAUAUGCAGCAAUGUAUAUGGGUAGGGGAGCGUUCUCAUCGGGCUGAAGCAGUACCGUAAGGAGUUGUGGACUGAUGAGAAGUGAGAAUGUCGGUAUGAGUAGCGAAAAGAAUGGUGAGAAUCCAUUCCACCGAAAGCCUAAGGGUUCCUGAGCAACGAUCGUCGUCUCAGGGUAAGUCGGGACCUAAGCCGAGGCGGAAAAGCGUAGGCGAUGGACAACAGGUUGAAAUUCCUGUACCGGUGUGAAUCGUUUGAUCGAUGGAGUGACACAGUAAGGUAGGUCAGCACGCGAUUGGAAGUGCGUGUUUAAGCAUGUAGGUUGAGCUAUAGGCAAAUCCGUAGCUCUAAAAGCUGAGAUGUGAUGACGAGUUACUAGCGAUAGUAACGAAGUGAUUGAUCCUACACUGUCGAGAAAAGCUUCUAGGUAGAGACACAUCGCCCGUACCAAAACCGACACAGGUAGGCGGGGAGAGAAUCCUAAGGUGCGCGGGAAAACCCUCGUUAAGGAACUCGGCAAAAUGCCUCCGUAACUUCGGGAAAAGGAGGACUCAUGUAGUGUGAAGUGCAGCAACGCAUGGAGCAUGAAUGAGUGGCACAAGAGAGGCGCAAGCGACUGUUUACCACAAACACAGGUGCCUGCUAAAGCGAAAGCUGAUGUAUAGGUGCUGACACCUGCCCGGUGCUGGAAGGUUAAGAGGAGGGGUUAGACUUCGGUCGAAGCUCUGAAUUGAAGCCCCAGUAAACGGCGGCCGUAACUAUAACGGUCCUAAGGUAGCGAAAUUCCUUGUCGGGUAAGUUCC
rnacentral:rRNA from 1 species